UACGUAGGGGGCAAGCGUUGUCCGGAAUCAUUGGGCGUAAAGCGCGCGUAGGCGGCCCGGUAAGUCCGUUGUGAAAGUCAAAGGCUCAACCUUUGAACGCCGAUGGAUACUGCCGGGCUAGAGUCCGGAAGAGGCGAGUGGAAUUCCUGGUGUAGCGGUGGAAUGCGCAGAUAUCAGGAGGAACACCUAUGGCGAAGGCAGCACUCUGGGACGGUACUGACGCUGAGACGCGAAAGCGUGGGGAGCGAACAGG
rnacentral:rRNA from 1 species